UACGUAGGUCCCGAGCGUUGUCCGGAUUUAUUGGGCGUAAAGCGAGCGCAGGUGGUUUAAUAAGUCUGAUGUAAAAGGCAGUGGCUCAACCAUUGUGUGCAUUGGAAACUGUUAGACUUGAGUGCAGUAGAGGAGAGUGGAAUUCCAUGUGUAGCGGUGAAAUGCGUAGAUAUAUGGAGGAACACCGGUGGCGAAAGCGGCUCUCUGGACUGUAACUGACACUGAGGCGCGAAAGCGUGGGUAGCAAACAGG
rnacentral:rRNA from 1 species